CCUACGGGAGGCAGCAGUGGGGAAUAUUGCGCAAUGGGCGAAAGCCUGACGCAGCGACGCCGCGUGAGGGAUGAAGGUCUUCGGAUCGUAAACCUCUGUCAGCAGGGAAGAACGGUCACUGUGCUAAUCAGCAGUGCAUUGACGGUACCUGCAAAGGAAGCACCGGCUAACUCCGUGCCAGCAGCCGCGGUAAUACGGAGGGUGCGAGCGUUAAUAGGAAUUACUGGGCGUAAAGCGCUCGUAGGCGGUAUGUCAAGUCAAGGGUGAAAUCCCCGCGCUCAACGUGGGAACUGCCUUUGAAACUGGCAAACUGGAGUGUGUGAGAGGAAAGUGGAAUUCGAGGUGUAGGAGUGAAAUCCGUAGAUAUCAGGAGGAACAUCAGUGGCGAAGGCGACUAUCUGGCACAUAACUGACGCUGAGGAGCGAAAGCGUGGGUAGCAAACAGGAUUAGAUAUCCUUGUAGUC
rnacentral:rRNA from 1 species